AUUGAACGCUGGCGGCAUGCCUUACACAUGCAAGUCGAACGGUAACGGGCCUUAGGGUGCCGACGAGUGGCGAACGGGUGAGUAAUACAUCGGAACGUGCCCGAUCGUGGGGGAUAACGAGGCGAAAGCUUUGCUAAUACCGCAUACGAUCUACGGAUGAAAGCAGGGGACCGCAAGGCCUUGCGCGGACGGAGCGGCCGAUGGCAGAUUAGGUAGUUGGUGGGAUAAAGGCUUACCAAGCCCACGAUCUGUAGCUGGUCUGAGAGGAUGAUCAGCCACACUGGGACUGAGACACGGCCCAGACUCCUACGGGAGGCAGCAGUGGGGAAUUUUGGACAAUGGGCGCAAGCCUGAUCCAGCCAUGCCGCGUGCAGGAUGAAGGCCUUCGGGUUGUAAACUGCUUUUGUACGGAACGAAAAGCCUUCGUUUAAUACAGGAGGGUCAUGACGGUACCGUAAGAAUAAGCACCGGCUAACUACGUG
rnacentral:rRNA from 1 species